rnacentral:rRNA from 1 species
GACCUGGCUGGGCGGUCCGCUUAACGGCGUGUACUGUCUGGCUGGGCCUUACCUCUUGGUGAGCCGGCGUGCCCUUUAUUGGUGUGCGUCGGGGAACCAGGACUUUUACUUUGAAAAAAUUAGAGUGUUUAAAGCAGGCAUUCGCUUGAAUACAUUAGCAUGGAAUAAUAAAAUAGGACU